rnacentral:rRNA from 1 species
CCUACGGGAGGCAGCAGUGGGGAAUAUUGGGCAAUGGGCGCAAGCCUGACCCAGCAACGCCGCGUGAAGGAAGAAGGCUUUCGGGUUGUAAACUUCUUUUGUCAGGGAAGAGUAGAAGACGGUACCUGACGAAUAAGCCACGGCUAACUACGUGCCAGCAGCCGCGGUAAUACGUAGGUGGCAAGCGUUGUCCGGCUUUACUGGGUGUAAAGGGCGUGUAGCCGGGUUGACAAGUCAGAUGUGAAAUCCUGCGGCUUAACCGCAGAAAUGCAUUUGAAACUGUUGAUCUUGAGUACUGGAGAGGCAGGCGGAAUUCCAAGUGUAGCGGUGAAAUGCGUAGAUAUUAGGAGGAACACCAGUGGCGAAGGCGGUCUGCUGGACAGCAACUGACGGUGAGGCGCGAAAGCGUGGGGAGCAAACAGGAUUAGAUACCCGAGUAGUC